rnacentral:rRNA from 1 species
AUUGAAUGCUGGCGGCAGGCCUAACACAUGCAAGUCGAACGAGCGGCGCACGGGUGAGUAAUGUCUGGGAACCUGCCAGAUGGAGGGGGAUAACGACGGGAAACCGUAGGUAAUACCGCAUACCAUCGGAUGUGCCUAGAGGGGAUUAGCUAGUAGGUGGGGUAACGGCUCACCUAGGCGACGAUCCCUAGCUGGUCUGAGAGGAUGACCAGCCACACUGGAACUGAGACACGGUCCAGACUCCUACGGGAGGCAGCAGUGGGGAAUAUUGCACAAUGGGCGCAAGCCUGAUGCAGCCAUGCCGCGUGUAUGAAGAAGGCCUUCGGGUUGUAAAGUACUUUCAGCGAGGAGGCGUUACGCGCAGAAGAAGCACCGGCUAACUCCGUGCCAGCAGCCGCGGUAAUUC